rnacentral:rRNA from 1 species
GACAGAGGGGGCAAGCGUUGCUCGGAAUUACUGGGCGUAAAGGGCGCGUAGGCGGGAUGGCAAGUCGGUCGUGAAAUCCCUCGGCUCAACCGAGGAACGUCGAUCGAUACUGCUGUUCUUGAGGAUUGCAGAGGAGACUGGAAUUCCCGGUGUAGCGGUGAAAUGUGUAAAGAUCGGGAGGAACACCGGUGGCGAAGGCGGGUCUCUGGACAGUUCCUGACACUGAGGCACGAAGGCCAGGGGAGCAAACGGG